GGUGGAGCGAUUUGUCUGGUUAAUUCCGAUAACGAACGAGACUCUGGCCUAUUAAAUAGACGGUAUAUCGAAAAGUAUAUCGCGCUUCUUAGAGGGACAAGCGGCGUCCAGCCGCAUGAAAUAGAGCAAUAACAGGUCUGUGAUGCCCUUAGAUGUCCGGGGCUGCACGCGCGCUACACUGAAAGAAUCAGAGUGCGCUAAUGCCUAGUCCGGAAGGACCGGGUAACCCAAGUAAAUUCUUUCGUGCUUGGGAUAGGGAAUUGCAAUUAUUUCCCUUAAACGAGGAAUUCCCAGUAAAUGCGGGUCAUAAGCUCGCGUUGAAUACGUCCCUGCCCUUUGUAC
rnacentral:rRNA from 1 species